rnacentral:rRNA from 1 species
AUACGGAGGGUCCGAGCGUUAUCCGGAAUCAUUGGGUUUAAAGGGUCCGUAGGCGGGAAUCUAAGUCAGUGGUGAAAUCUUGCAGCUCAACUGUAAAAUUGCCAUUGAUACUGGAUUUCUUGAAUUAGUGUGAAGUGGUUAGAAUGUGUAGUGUAGCGGUGAAAUGCAUAGAUAUUACACAGGAUACCAAUUGCGAAGGCAGAUCACUAACACUAUAUUGACUCUAAGGGACGAAAGCGUGGGGAGCGAACAGGAUUAGAUACCCUAGUAGUCC